rnacentral:rRNA from 1 species
CGGAUAGAGCUGACGUAUCUAGCUUGUAUUCAGCCGCCUUUUGGCGUAGGCUGGUCCAGGCAUUCCGGCUUUUGGAUGUCUGAGCUAUGCUUUGCGUUACUUGGUGGUGCUUUUACAAGUGAAGUGCGCCGAGAGGUAUUCUACAGCGGUUGGAUCUCUGCUCUGAGGACCCUUUUCGGAGGGAAACCCGGGCAUUGGGAAAACUGUUUGUGGGGUAUUGCUUGUCGAGUAUGGUCCUACGAGUCGGUUGCUCGUUGAGCCAGCUGCGGGAUGCGGUCGCAUGCGAACGCUUCUGUGGUAGGUUUAGCGGGUAGCAUGUACUCCCAUGCUUAUUCUCGGUGUAAAAGUCGGUCAUCUAUCCGACCCGUCUUGAAACACGGACCAAGGAGUUUACCAAAUAUGCGAGUCAUUGAGUGUUAAAAACUCAAAGGCGAAAUGAAAGUAAAGGCACCUUUAUGGGCUGAUAUGCGAUCCCUGGUACUUCGGUGCCGAGGCGCAGCAUAGCCCCAUCCUGAUUGCUUGCAAUGGGGUGGAGGCAGAGCAUAUUUGUUGAGACCCGAAAGAUGGUGAACUAUGCCUGAGCAGGACGAAGCCAGAGGAAACUCUGGUGGAAGUCCGAAGCGGUUCUGACGUGCAAAUCGAUCGUCUGACUUGGGUAUAGGGGCGAAAGACUAAUCGAACCAUCUAGUAGCU